rnacentral:rRNA from 1 species
UACGUAGGGUGCAAGCGUUAAUCGGAAUUACUGGGCGUAAAGCGUACGCAGGCGGUUUUGUAAGUCUGUCGUGAAAUCCCCGGGCUCAACCUGGGAAUUGCGAUGGAGACUGCAAGGCUAGAAUCUGGCAGAGGGGGGUAGAAUUCCACGUGUAGCAGUGAAAUGCGUAGAGAUGUGGAGGAACACCGAUGGCGAAGGCAGCCCCCUGGGUCAAGAUUGACGCUCAUGCACGAAAGCGUGGGGAGCAAACAGG